GGAACAGGAACUAAUCUAACUGUCUGCAUUUCUCCAGCUCCAAUAAAGAUUUACACAAAGCCACGCAAGGACAAUUCAUCGAAGUCUCUGACUCUUGUGUGUCAGACGAGUGCAUUCCAUCCGGGCGAUUUUACCCUCGUUUGGUAUAAAAAUGGCAUCGCAAUUUCACCGGAGAUAAUUAGAAAACAGAACGCUGAAGGACUAUAUGAAGCUUUCAGUUCUUUGGAAGAGCCGCAGCCUGAGCGGACUGAAGUUGUCUACAUCUGUUUGGUAAUACACAUCUCUCUCCGGACUCCCGCCAUUGCUAUCCACACUGUGACAAAUAUCUACUCAGAACAAUUCUGCCAACCCAGGAACAAGUCCUUUGUUGCACUCACUCCAUUGCAGUAAUAUCCUUCGUACGAUCAGCGGAUCAAAGACACGCACGCACAUCACUCCGGGCGUGA